rnacentral:rRNA from 1 species
CAUCUGAGACAGGUGGUGCAUGGUUGUCGUCAGCUCGUGUCGUGAGAUGUUGGGUUAAGUCCCGCAACGAGCGCAACCCUUGUCCAUAGUAGCCAGCAGUAAGAUGGGCACUCUAUGGAGACUGCCAGGGAUAACCUGGAGGAAGGUGGGGAUGACGUCAAAUCAUCAUGCCCCUUAUGAUCUGGGCCACACACGUGCUACAAUGUCGUAACAAAGGGAAGCGAAGGAGCGAUCCGGAGCAAAUCUCAAAAAUAACGACCCACUUCGGACUGUAGGCUGCAACCCGCCUGCACGAAACUGGAAUCGCUAGUAAUCGCAGAUCACAAUGCUGCGGUGAAUACGUUCCCGGGUCUUGUACACACCGCCCGUCACACCAUGGGAGUCGGAA